rnacentral:rRNA from 1 species
AAGCCAUGCAUGUCUAAGUAUAAGCAAUCUAUACGGUGAAACUGCGAAUGGCUCAUUAAAUCAGUUAUCGUUUAUUUGAUAGUACCUUACUACUUGGAUAACCGUGGUAAUUCUAGAGCUAAUACAUGCUAAAAACCUCGACUUCGGAAGGGGUGUAUUUAUUAGAUAAAAAACCAAUGCCCUUCGGGGCUCCUUGGUGAUUCAUAAUAACUUAACGAAUCGCAUGGCCUUGUGCCGGCGAUGGUUCAUUCAAAUUUCUGCCCUAUCAACUUUCGAUGGUAGGAUAGUGGCCUACCAUGGUUU